rnacentral:rRNA from 1 species
GCGAGCGAAAAGAAAAUAGUUCAGCACUAAGUCAUUUUGUCUAUAUGAUAAAUAUGAGAUGCAGUGUAUGGAACAUCUAUAAUCUAGUAUGAAAAAUUGAUGAUUUAAGUCCUUCUUAAAUGAGGCCAUUUACCCAUAGAGGGUGCCAGGCCCGUAUAACGUUAAUGAUUACUAGAAGAUGAUUCCAAAGAGUCGUGUUGCUUGAUAGUGCAGCACUAAGUGGGUGGUAAACUCCAUCUAAAGCUAAAUAUAACCAUAAGACCGAUAGUAAACAAGUACCGUGAGGGAAAGUUGAAAAGAACUCUGAAUAGAGAGUUAAAUAGUACGUGAAACUGCUUAGAGGUUAAGCCCGAUGAACCUGAAUAUCCAUUAUGGAAAAUACAACAUUAUGAAUAUAAUAUUUUUUAUAAUAUUAUGGUAAUAGUGUGCAUUUUUUCUAUAUAAGGACAUUGUAAUCUAUUAACAUUUAUAUAUAUUUAUCAUAAAAUUAUUAAGAUUUAUGUUUAUUUAAAUUAAUGUACUAUUUUGUAUAUUAAUGUCAAAUAAAUUCUUAUGAUUUGAUAAAGUGUUGAUAGAUUGAUUUUAUAUAUAUAGUGCUUAAAUUUUUUAUUAAAAAAAUUUUGUAAUAACAUUAAUUAUCUAUUAUAGAUUUUUAUAUUUAUUACAUGCGCUAAUAUGAUUAACAAUGCUAUAGAUUCAGGAUACCUUCGGGACCCGUCUUGAAACACGGACCAAGGAGUCUAACAUAUGUGCAAGUCAUUGGGAUUUAUAUAUAUUAAACCCAAAGGCAUAAUUAACUUAAAUGUAAUAUAAAAUGGGAUAAGUUUUUAAUUCUAUUUAUAGAUUAUUAAUUCGAUCCCGGGGCGUUCUAUAUAGUUAUGUAUAAUAAUAUUUAUAUUAUUUAUACCUCUAACUGGAGCGUACCUUGAGCAUUUAUGCUGUGACCCGAAAGAUGGUGAUCUAUACUUGAUCAGGUUGAAGUCAGGGGAAACCCUGAUGGAGGACCGAAACAGUUCUGACGUGCAAAUCGAUUGUCAGAAUUGAGUAUAGCUGCGUAAGACUCAUCGAACCAUCUAGUAGCUGGUUCCCUCCGAAGUUUCUCUCAGGAUAGCUGGUGCAUUUUAAUAUUAUAUAAAAUAUUCCUAUCUGGUAAAGCGAAUGAUUAGAGGCCUUAGGGUCGAAACGACCUUAACCUAUUCUCAAACUUUAAAUGGGUAAGAACCUCACCUUUCUUGAUAUGAAGGUUGAGGUUAUGAUAUAAUGUGCCCAGUGGGCCACUUUUGGUAAGCAGAACUGGCGCUGUGGGAUGAACCAAACGUUAUGUUACGGUGCCCAAAUUAACAACUCAUGCAGAUACCAUGAAAGGCGUUAGUUGCUAAAAACAGCAUGACGGUGGACAUGGAAGUCGUAAUCCGCUAAGGAGUGUGUAACAACUCACAUGCCGAAGCAACUAGCCCUUAAAAUGGAUGGCGCUUAAGUUGUAUACCUAUACAUUACCGCUAAAGUAAAUGAUUUAUAUUCAAUUUUGGUUGAAUUUUAAAUUUUGAAACUUUAGUGAGUAGGAGGGUACAAUGGUGUGCUUAGAAGUGUUUGGCGUAAGCCUGCAUGGAGCCGCCAUUGGUACAGAUCUUGGUGGUAGUAGCAAAUAAUCGAAUGAGACCUUGGAGGACUGAAGUGGAGAAGGGUUUCGUGUGAACAGUGGUUGAUCACGAGUUAGUCGGUCCUAAGUUCAAGGCGAAAGCCGAAAAUUUUUUUAAGUUAUAAUAAAAAAAGAUAUAUAUAUAUAUAUAUAUUAAUAAUUAUGUAUAUAUUUAGAAAUUAAACACUUAAUUAUUUUUGAACGAAAGGGAAUACGGUUCCAAUUCCGUAACCUGUUGAGUAUCCGUUUGUUAUUAAAAAUGGGCCUUGUGCUCAUCCUGGUAACAGAAACGACCAUAAAGAAGCCGUCGAGAGAUAUCGGAAGAGUUUUCUUUUCUGUUUUAUAAUCGUACUACCAUGGAAGUCUUUCGAAGAGAGAUAUGGUAGAUGGACUAGAAGAGCAUGACAUUUACUGUUGUGUCGAUAUUUUCUCCUCGGACCUUGAAAAUUUAUGGUGGGGUCACGCAAACUUCUCAACAGGCCGUACCGAUAUCCGCAGCUGGUCUCCAAGGUGAAGAGUCUCUAGUCGAUAGAAUAAUGUAGGUAAGGGAAGUCGGCAAAUUA